rnacentral:rRNA from 4 species
UGUUCGGGUUGUCAUGCCAAUGGCACUGCCCGGUAGCUAAAUGCGGAAGAGAUAAGUGCUGAAAGCAUCUAAGCACGAAACUUGCCCCGAGAUGAGUUCUCCCUGAGACUUUAGGUCUCCUGAAGGAACGUUGAAGACGACGACGUUGAUAGGCCGGGUGUGUAAGCGCAGCGAUGCGUUGAGCUAACCGGUACUAAUGAACCGUGAGGCUUAACCUU